UACGUAGGUCCCGAGCGUUGUCCGGAUUUAUUGGGCGUAAAGCGAGCGCAGGUGGUUUAUUAAGUCAGGUGUAAAAGGCAGUGGCUCAACCAUUGUAUGCAUUGGAAACUGGUAGGCUUGAGUGCAGGAGAGGAGAGUGGAAUUCCAUGUGUAGCGGUGAAAUGCGUAGAUAUAUGGAGGAACACCGGUGGCGAAAGCGGCUCUCUGGCCUGUAACUGACACUGAGGCUCGAAAGCGUGGGGAGCAAACAGG
rnacentral:rRNA from 1 species